GCUGGGCAUGGUGGCUCAUGCCUGUAAUCCCAGCAUUUUGGGAGGCUGAGGUGGGUGGAUCACCUGAGGUCAGGAGUUUGAGACCAGCCUGGCCAACAUGGUGAAACCCCAUCUCUA
rnacentral:sRNA from 1 species